GCUUUCUAACCAGAUUACCUGUAAAAAUUAAAUACCAACCAAACCAAAUCACAUUGAAACAAAUUCCUAUCAUUCACAAUACAUCUAUAAACACCCAAAUCCACAAACACAUCCAAAGUAUGAAAUUAAAAUCCAGAAACACAUCCAAAGUAGAAAAGCAAUAGAAAUAGUUAAACAAAAGAUAUGAAUACUUGAAAAAAUAUUACAACUAAAAUUGUACAUUACAAAUUUAACUAGAAGUAGCAAAAUGAAUCUCAUAGUGAUGUGAUAAACCUGAUGUGAUAAACCUGUAAAAAAAUAUAAACAAUAUAAAUAAAUAAAUCAAAUAAUUAAAAUAUUUAGUAUAUAAUAAAAAUAUCAAAUAGUUAAACUUACAUUAUAGGAUGUACUUUAAGAAAUAGGUUNNNN
rnacentral:lncRNA from 1 species